rnacentral:rRNA from 1 species
UACAGAGGUCUCAAGCGUUGUUCGGAUUCAUUGGGCGUAAAGGGUGUGUAGGUGGCGCCGUAAGUCGGGUGUGAAAUUUCGGAGCUUAACUCCGAAACUGCAUUCGAUACUGCGGUGCUUGAGGACUGGAGAGGAGGCUGGAAUUUACGGUGUAGCAGUGAAAUGCGUAGAUAUCGUAAGGAAGGCCGGUGGCGAAAGCGAGCCUCUGGACAGUUACUGACGCUGAUGCACGAAGGCCAGGGGAGCAAACGGG